rnacentral:misc_RNA from 1 species
UUUCCGUAGGUGAACCUGCGGAAGGAUCAUUAAUAAUAAGUGUAUUAUGGCACUUUUUUAAAUCCACAUCCACCUUGUGUCCAAUGUCAGGGUUGAUCUUUCUCUAGCGAGGCUCAGCCCCAAACAUCAACUAUAUCUCAAUUCUUUGUCUGAAAAAUAUUAUGAAUCAAACAAUUCAAAAUACAACUUUCAACAACGGAUCUCUUGGCUCUC